UUUUGAUAAAGAUAGACAAUUAGUAUAUUUAGCGUUGGAGAAUAUUUUACAAAGAUAUGGUAUAAAUGGAAAGCAAUGCAUUUUACAAUCCAUUUGCCAAAAUUCUCAAUACCCUCUUUCUCAUAAUGAAAAUGGAAUCUUUGGAGAAUUAUUACACAUUUUUUUUACACCAUUUUACAACAAUAAUAGUGAGUACGCAGACGCAUACAUGGCAGGAAAAUAUGGAAUUGACUGCAAAAAUGAAUUUUCCGGUUGUAAAUCGCAACAUAAUCUGUUAAACAUGAUAUCGUUCUUAGAUAACGAUGAAAUCGGUUACAGUUAAGU